rnacentral:rRNA from 1 species
CCUACGGGUGGCAGCAGUAGGGAAUCUUUCACAAUGGGCGAAAGCCUGAUGGAGCAACGCCGCGUGCAGGAUGACGGCCCUCCGGGUUGUAAACUGCUUUUAGUUGGGAAUAAAAGGGGGCUCGUGAGCCCCGUAUUGUAUGUACCAUCAGAAAAAGGACCGGCUAAUUCCGUGCCAGCAGCCGCGGUAAUACGGAAGGUCCGGGCGUUAUCCGGAUUUAGUGGGUUUAAAGGGAGCGUAGGACGGCUUUUAAGUCAGCUGUGAAAGUCCGCGGCUCAACCGUGGAAUUGCAGUUGAAACUGGAGGCCUUGAGUGCACACAGGGAUGCCGGAAUUCAUGGUGUAGCGGUGAAAUGCUUAGAUAUCAUGAAGAACUCCGAUCGCGAAGGCAAGUGUCCGGGGUGCAACUGACGCUGAGGCUCGAAAGUGCGGGUAUCAAACAGGAUUAGAUACCCCGGUAGUC